rnacentral:tRNA from 1 species
AUAGRCUGUAAAAAUCCUUAUUUACC